rnacentral:rRNA from 1 species
AAUGUGCUUAGUUUCAGUUGCCAUUAUUCUGGCAUCAAAUUGUCGCUUAGAGUUACCUUGUUGCGACUUCACCCCAGUCAUGAAUCCUACCGUGGUAAUCACCCUCCUUACAGUUGUGAUAACACUUCUGGUAAAACCACUCACAUGUGUGACGGGCGGUGUGUGCAGACAGGAACAAUGUCUGCGACAUGCUGAUCAUGAUUAUAGCGAUUGAGCUUCACGCAGUCGAUUACGAACUUCGAUCCGGACUGCGAUCGGGUUUCUGGAUUGAAAGCCAUAAGCAGGAGUUGGCGACCCUCUGUCCCGACCAUUAUGACGUGUGAAGCCCCCUGCCAUAAGACCACCUUGAGGACUUGACGUCAUCACCUUCCUCCGGUUUGUCACCGGCAGUCUCGUCGAUGCCUUUCAUAUAACUAAUGACAAAGGGUUGCGCUCAGUUGCGAGACUUAACAACAUCUCACGACUGAGCUGACGACAGCCAUGCAGCACCUGUGUUCCGGUUCUCUUUGCGAGCACUCCCAAUCUCUUCGGGAUUCCAGACAUGUCAAGGGUAAGUGGGAUUUUCGCGUUACCGCUCAAUUAAUCCAUCAUCACCGCUUGUGCAGGUCCCCGUCAAUUCGGCCUGGGUUUUGAUCUUGCGACCGUACUCCUGGGCGGUCAGCUUCACCGCGUUAACCACUACGCAGGCCGAAGGCCCCAACAGCUGGGCCAACAUCGUUUGGGGCGUGGACUGCCGGGAGUAUCUAUCUGUUUACUCCACGCUUUCGUGCGUGACGUCAGUGUUAUCCCAGGAGGCUGCCCUCGCCAUCAAUUGUUCCUCCACAUGUCGCAUUCCUGCUACGCGGAAUUUACCUCCCUCGACCACUCUAGCUCGGUAGUUAAAAAUGCAGUUCAAGAGUUAAGCUCUGGGGAUUUCAUCUUUCUUUCAGACCAUGCGCACGCUUUACGCCAGUAAUUCCGGUCACCUUCCACCUACGUAUUACCGCAGCCUUCGCACCAGCAUGGAUUAGCCGGUGCUUAUUCUGCGAAAUUACCGUCAGUUGCAGGGUAUUAUCGGUCGCCGUUCUUCUGCCAAUUCUUUACUGCAACCAGGCCUUCAUCCACCGCAGGAUGGCUGGAUCAAAGUUUCCCCCAUUGUCAAAAAUUCCCCGCUACUGCCUCCGUAGGAGUCACAAACGAUAAUCUCAGUCCCAGUGUGUUCAGACCGAUCACUCUCAAACCAACGCCACCGGAUCGUCGCAACGAGUGGCGACCACGUUGCCCGCCAGCACAGCUGUCGAUAUCGAAAGAAAGCCCAUCUAAUAGUGCAGGCCCGAAGAUCUCACCCCGAAGAAUAUUGUGCGGUAAUGCUACACUUUCAAGCAUAAUUAUCCGCUGCGAAGCGUUCCAUUGUACUUUCCACCGUUCGCCACUCGCCACCAGACCGAAGUCCGUGCUGCCCGUUCGACUUGCUGUGUAAAGCAUCCGCCAGCGUUCAAUCAAACCAUAAUCAAACC